GACGAACGCUGGCGGCGUGCCUAAUACAUGCAAGUCGAACGCUUUUUCUUUCACCGGAGCUUGCUCCACCGAAAGAAAAAGAGUGGCGAACGGGUGAGUAACACGUGGGUAACCUGCCCAUCAGAAGGGGAUAACACUUGGAAACAGGUGCUAAUACCGUAUAACACUAUUUUCAGCAUGGAAGAAAGUUGAAAGGCGCUUUUGCAUCACUGAUGGAUGGACCCGCGGUGCAUUAGCUAGUUGGUGAGGUAACGGUUCACCAGGGCAACGAUGCAUAGCCGACCUGAGAGGGUGAUCGGCCACACUGGGACUGAGACACGGCCCAGACUCCUACGGGAGGCAGCAGUAGGGAAUCUUCGGCAAUGGACGAAAGUCUGACCGAGCAACGCCGCGUGAGUGAAGAAGGUUUUCGGAUCGUAAAACUCUGUUGUUAGAGAAGAACAAGGAUGAGAGUAAAAUGUUCAUCCCUUGACGGUAUCUAACCAGAAAGCCACGGCUAACUACGUGCCAGCCGCCGCCGUAA
rnacentral:rRNA from 1 species